rfam:Schistosoma rodhaini strain Burundi genome assembly, scaffold: SROB_scaffold0013494
AUCCAGCUGACGAGUCCCAAAUAGGACAAAGUGGUGCGCCUUCUGGAU